CCUACGGGUGGCAGCAGUGAGGAAUAUUGGUCAAUGGACGAGAGUCUGAACCAGCCAAGUAGCGUGAAGGAUGACUGCCCUAUGGGUUGUAAACUUCUUUUAUAUGGGAAUAAAAUGUUCCACGUGUGGGCUUUUGUAUGUACCAUAUGAAUAAGGAUCGGCUAACUCCGUGCCAGCAGCCGCGGUAAUACGGAGGAUCCGAGCGUUAUCCGGAUUUAUUGGGGUUAAAGGGAGCGUAGGUGGAUUGUUAAGUCAGUUGUGAAAGUUUGCGGCUCAACCGUAAAAUUGCAGUUGAAACUGGCAGUCUUGAGUACACUAGAGGCGGGCGGAAUUCGUGGUGUAGCGGUGAAAUGCUUAGAUAUCACGAAGAACUCCGAUUGCGAAGGCAGCUUACUGGACUGCAACUGACACUGAGGCUCGAAAGUGUGGGUAUCAAACAGGAUUAGAUACCCUUGUAGUC
rnacentral:rRNA from 1 species